UCAUUUUGACGGUUCCCCUUAAACAUAUCGGAUAUGUAUGGGGAAGUAGUGUGUCGGGGAGCUCACUAUAACUCAAAAUCAACCCAAAAUUGUGUGUAUGCAUGCUUAAAUUUCACGGGCGUUAUGUUUUAUUCUGGGUUUACUUUAAUACGAUUUCGCACAAUUUGGAAAAAUGCGCCUGUAGCUGAUCUAAAAACUUGCAGUGUCAGCCCGACCUUAGCUUCCUUUUAUUCUCCCUAGUGAAGGCACAGAAUUUAAGCAGAUGAUUGAACUGCUGACGUUUUCUGUAUCAGCUUGUUCCCUUACAGAGCCUGCGAAAAAUAGCCCACAUUGGCAUACAGCGGCAUGGCGGAAAUUAUUGCUUUGGACUUUUCCUGGCCGCAUCCACAAAGAGCCUAGAAAAUUUAGAAAUUAUUUUGUUUAUAAAAUUUACAAAAUGUAUUACUGAUUUGGAGACAUGACACGUGUAAAAGGUUAAAUACGUAUGAAUUAAAUGUUCAAUUGAUACUCAGGUUAAUACAGUACAGUACGACCAUUAAACUUUA